UACGUAGGGAGCAAGCGUUAUCCGAAUUUAUUGGGUGUAAAGGGUGUGUAGGCGGUAUAUUAAGUCUAUGGUUUAAGUCCGAAGCUUAACUUCGGUUCGCCAUGGAAACUGAUAUUCUUGAGUAUGGUAGAGGCAAGUGGAAUUUCUAGUGUAGCGGUAAAAUGCGUAGAUAUUAGAAGGAACACCAGUGGCGAAGGCGACUUGCUGGGCCAUUACUGACGCUGAGACACGAAAGCAUGGGGAGCAAAUAGG
rnacentral:rRNA from 1 species